UACGGAGGGUGCAAGCGUUAUCCGGAUUCACUGGGUUUAAAGGGUGCGUAGGAGGACAGGUAAGUCAGUGGUGAAAUCUCUGAGCUUAACUCAGAAACUGCCAUUGAUACUAUGUUUCUUGAAUUUUCUGGAGGUCAGCGGAAUAUGUCAUGUAGCGGUGAAAUGCUUAGAUAUGACAUAGAACACCAAUUGCGAAGGCAGCUGGCUACAGGGAUAUUGACACUGAGGCACGAAAGCGUGGGGAUCAAACAGG
rnacentral:rRNA from 1 species